UGGGGAAUCUUGCGCAAUGGGCGAAAGCCUGACGCAGCCAUGCCGCGUGCAUGAUGAAGGUCUUAGGAUUGUAAAAUUCUUUCACCGGGGACGAUAAUGACGGUACCCGGAGAAGAAGCCCAGGCUAACUUCGUGCCAGCAGCCGCGGUAAUACGAAGGGGGCUAGCGUUGCUCGGAAUUACUGGGCGUAAAGGGAGCGUAGGCGGACAUUUAAGUCAGGGGUGAAAUCCCGGGGCUCAACCUCGGAAUGGCCGUUGAUACUGUGUGGCUUGAGUAUGAGAGAGGUGUGUGGAA
rnacentral:rRNA from 1 species